rnacentral:rRNA from 1 species
GAUGAACGCUGGCGGCGUGCCUAAUACAUGCAAGUCGAGCGAACAGACGAGGAGCUUGCUCCUCUGACGUUAGCGGCGUACGGAUGAGUAACACAUGGAGAACCUACCUAUAAGACUGGGAUAACUUCGGGAAACCGGUGCUACUACCGGUAAUAAUCUGCAACGGCUGGGUUCAAUAGCGAAAGAGGAUAUUGCUGUCACUUAUCAAGAGAACCGCGCCGCUGUAGCUAGGUCGUAAGGUGACGGCUUACCAAGGCGACGAUGCGUAGGCGACCUGAGAGGGUGAUCGGCCCCACUGGAACGGAAACACGGCCCAGACUCCUACGGGAGGCAGCAGAAGAGAAUCGUCCGCAAUGGGAGAAAGCCUGACGGAGCAAAGCCGCGCGAGUGAUGAAGGUCUUCGGAUCGUAAAACUCUGUUAUUAUGGAAGAACAAAUGUGUAAGUAACUAUGCACGUCUUGACGGUACCUAAUCAGAAAGCCCCGGCUAACUACGUG